AGAUUGAACGCUGGCGGCAUGCCUUACACAUGCAAGUCGAACGGUAACGCGGGGCAACCUGGCGACGAGUGGCGAACGGGUGAGUAAUAUAUCGGAACGUGCCCAGUAGUGGGGGAUAGCCCGGCGAAAGCCGGAUUAAUACCGCAUACGACCUACGGGUGAAAGGGGGGGAUCGCAAGACCUCUCGCUAUUGGAGCGGCCGAUAUCAGAUUAGCUAGUUGGUGGGGUAAAAGCCUACCAAGGCGACGAUCUGUAGCUGGUCUGAGAGGACGACCAGCCACACUGGGACUGAGACACGGCCCAGACUCCUACGGGAGGCAGCAGUGGGGAAUUUUGGACAAUGGGCGCAAGCCUGAUCCAGCCAUGCCGCGUGCGGAAGAAGGCCUUCGGGUUGUAAACCGCUUUGUCAGGAAGAAAUCUUGGCUAAGUACCCGGGGAGUGACGGUACCUGAAGAAUAAGACACCGGCUAACUACGUGCCAGCAGCCGCGU
rnacentral:rRNA from 1 species